GGAGCAAUGGCAUAGAACAAAAGGCGAAGAUAGGUUGUCCCCGAGUUCCUUCCUUUAUGUCCCUCGUCAUCAUCAGUGAGCCAGAGUGACCCUCUGAGGAGAUACUGUUCUAGAAGAGGAAACGGAGGUCCAGAGAGGUCACAGCACUGCACUUUUGUGCCUAUCACAGAAGCCCUUGAAGCCUCAUGAUGAGUUGGAAACGAGGUACUGAACGGAGAGGUGCUCAUGGCUGUGAACGGCAUGGUGCAGUGGACGGAGCA